UGACCUGGAGGAUUAAAUCCGCAGAGUGUCCGUCCGUCCCGGCUUCGGAGUUUCAAGCAUCCCGACGAGAGAGCCUGUACAUCGGGACAUCCGUAGCGGCGACUGCGGAGGGUUCAUGGCCCCAACCACGGAUGAACAAAGGAGGAGGACUGACAAAGUUAUUGCCUUCCACCACA